UGGGGAAUAUUGCGCAAUGGGGGAAACUCUGACGCAGCAACGCCGCGUGAAGGAUGAAGGUCUUCGGAUUGUAAACUUCUUUAGUCGGGGACGAAGAAAUGACGGUACCCGAAGAAUAAGCCACGGCUAACUACGUGCCAGCAGCCGCGGUAAUACGUAGGUGGCGAGCGUUGUCCGGAAUUACUGGGUGUAAAGGGCGUGUAGGCGGGACGGUAAGUCAGAUGUGAAAUUCCGAAGCUUAACUUCGGGGCUGCAUCUGAAACUAUCGUUCUUGAGUGCUGGAGAGGAAAGCGGAAUUCCUAGUGUAGCGGUGAAAUGCGUAGAUAUUAGGAGGAACACCAGUGGCGAAGGCGGCUUUCUGGACAGUAACUGACGCUGAGGCGCGAAAGCGUGGGGAGCAAACAGGAUUAGAUACCCUGGUAGUCCACGCUGUAAACGAUGGAUACUAGGUGUAGGAGGUAUCGACCCCUUCUGUGCCGGAGUUAACACAAUAAGUAUCCCACCUGGGGA
rnacentral:rRNA from 1 species